rnacentral:rRNA from 1 species
AGAGUUUGAUCCUGGCUCAGGAUGAACGCUAGCGGCAGGCUUAACACAUGCAAGUCGAGGGGUAUAGGUUUUCGGACCUAGAGACCGGCGCACGGGUGCGUAACGCGUAUGCAAUCUACCUUUUACAGAGGGAUAGCCCAGAGAAAUUUGGAUUAAUACCUCAUAGUAUUAUUGAAUGGCAUCAUUUAAUAAUUAAAGUCACAACGGUAAAAGAUGAGCAUGCGUCCCAUUAGCUAGUUGGUAAGGUAACGGCUUACCAAGGCAACGAUGGGUAGGGGUCCUGAGAGGGAGAUCCCCCACACUGGUACUGAGACACGGACCAGACUCCUACGGGAGGCAGCAGUGAGGAAUAUUGGUCAAUGGGCGCAAGCCUGAACCAGCCAUGCCGCGUGCAGGAUGACGGUCCUAUGGAUUGUAAACUGCUUUUGUACAGGAAGAAACAGUUCUACGUGUAGAACCUUGACGGUACUGUAAGAAUAAGGAUCGGCUAACUCCGUGCCAGCAGCCGCGGUAAUACGGAGGAUCCAAGCGUUAUCCGGAAUCAUUGGGUUUAAAGGGUCCGUAGGCGGUUUUUGUAAGUCAGUGGUGAAAGCCCAUCGCUCAACGGUGGAACGGCCAUUGAUACUGCAAGACUUGAAUUAUUGGGAAGCAACUAGAAUAUGUAGUGUAGCGGUGAAAUGCUUAGAGAUUACAUGGAAUACCAAUUGCGAAGGCAGGUUGCUACCAAUACAUUGACGCUGAUGGACGAAAGCGUGGGGAGCGAACAGGAUUAGAUACCCUAGUAGUCC